GUAGUCAUAUGCUUGUCUCAAGGAUUAAGCCAUGCAUGUCUAAGUAUAAACACCUUUAUACAGUGAAACUGCGAAUGGCUCAUUAAAUCAGUUAUAGUUUAUUUGAUAGUACCUCACUACAUGGAUAACCGUAGUAAUUCUAGAGCUAAUACAUGCGAAAAGACCCGACUUCUGGAAGGGUUGUAUUUAUUAGAUAAAAAACCAAUGCGGAGCAAUCCGGUUUUUGGUGAAUCAUAAUAACUUAACGGAUCGCAUGGCCUCGUGCCGGCGAUAGUUCAUUCAAAUUUCUGCCCUAUCAACUUUCGAUGGUACGGUAUUGGCCUACCAUGGUUACAACGGGUAACGGGGAAU
rnacentral:rRNA from 1 species